UACGUAGGGGGCAAACGUUGCUCGGAAUUACUGGGCGUAAAGGGUGCGUAGGCGGCUGAGCAAGUCAAGGAUGAAAUCCCGUGGCUUAACUGCGGAACUGUCCUUGAAACUGCUUAGCUUGAGGAUAGUCGAAGAAAACGGAAUUCCCGGUGGAGCGGUGAAAUGCGUAGAUAUCGGGAGGAACACCAGAGGCGUAAGCGGUUUUCUAUACUACUCCUGACGCUGAGGCACGAAAGCUAGGGGAGCAAACGGG
rnacentral:rRNA from 1 species